AUGGAGAGUUUGAUCAUGGCUCAGGAUGAACGCUGGCGGCGUGCCUAAUACAUGCAAGUCGAGCGAACUGAUUAGAAGCUUGCUUCUAUGACGUUAGCGGCGGACGGGUGAGUAACACGUGGGCAACCUGCCUGUAAGACUGGGAUAACUCCGGGAAACCGGAGCUAAUACCGGAUAACAUUUUCUCUUGCAUAAGAGAAAAUUGAAAGAUGGUUUCGGCUAUCACUUACAGAUGGGCCCGCGGUGCAUUAGCUAGUUGGUGAGGUAACGGCUCACCAAGGCAACGAUGCAUAGCCGACCUGAGAGGGUGAUCGGCCACACUGGGACUGAAACACGGCCCAGACUCCUACGGGAGGCAGCAGUAGGGAAUCUUCCGCAAUGGACGAAAGUCUGACGGAGCAACGCCGCGUGAGUGAUGAAGGCUUUCGGGUCGUAAAACUCUGUUGUUAGGGAAGAACAAGUACAAGAGUAACUGCUUGUACCUUGACGGUACCUAACCAGAAAGCCACGGCUAACUACGUGCCAGCAGCCGCGGUAAUACGUAGGUGGCAAGCGUUAUCCGGAAUUAUUGGGCGUAAAGCGCGCGCAGGCGGUUUCUUAAGUCUGAUGUGAAAGCCCACGGCUCAACCGUGGAGGGUCAUUGGAAACUGGGGAACUUGAGUGCAGAAGAGAAAAGCGGAAUUCCACGUGUAGCGGUGAAAUGCGUAGAGAUGUGGAGGAACACCAGUGGCGAAGGCGGCUUUUUGGUCUGUAACUGACGCUGAGGCGCGAAAGCGUGGGGAGCAAACAGGAUUAGAUACCCUGGUAGUCCACGCCGUAAACGAUGAGUGCUAAGUGUUAGAGGGUUUCCGCCCUUUAGUGCUGCAGCUAACGCAUUAAGCACUCCGCCUGGGGAGUACGGUCGCAAGACUGAAACUCAAAGGAAUUGACGGGGGCCCGCACAAGCGGUGGAGCAUGUGGUUUAAUUCGAAGCAACGCGAAGAACCUUACCAGGUCUUGACAUCCUCUGACAACUCUAGAGAUAGAGCGUUCCCCUUCGGGGGACAGAGUGACAGGUGGUGCAUGGUUGUCGUCAGCUCGUGUCGUGAGAUGUUGGGUUAAGUCCCGCAACGAGCGCAACCCUUGAUCUUAGUUGCCAGCAUUAAGUUGGGCACUCUAAGGUGACUGCCGGUGACAAACCGGAGGAAGGUGGGGAUGACGUCAAAUCAUCAUGCCCCUUACGACCUGGGCUACACACGUGCUACAAUGGAUGGUACAAAGGGCUGCAAGACCGCGAGGUCAAGCCAAUCCCAUAAAACCAUUCUCAGUUCGGAUUG
rnacentral:rRNA from 2 species